ensembl:lncRNA
CUUACUUUUUUUUUUCUUCCGUCUUCUUCUUCUUCUUCUUGUUUCAUGGCGGUUUGGUGCACUUCCGCCACCUACUGGGUUGGAGUGUAGAGCAUCAACGCGAAGGCAAAAAAAACCCCCUAAAAACAAAGAAAAACUAUCGACUAUAUCCUUCUAUACAACUUUGUUCCCUUAAGGUGGCGAAAACUCUGAGAUCUGAAGGGAUUGAAGACUAAUGCAGGGAUGGCUUUUUUCUGCUGAACAGCUAUGAGAGAGAGAAACUCACCUCUACUCCAAGAAAACCGUGUCCACCACCACCUCCACUGACAAGUAUUGGAGCUUGUCACGUCACGGCGAGUUCGCAACUACGGUCCCCAGAAUGCAGUGCCAACUACAAACAUGGCCGACGAGAACUACACUUCCCGACCAUGCAUGCGCUCACGUUCACCGGAAUACUGAGGUCACGGGGAACCUGGAGCCUAUCCCAGGGAGCAUUGGGCACAAGGCGUGGUACACCCUGGACAGGGUGCCAGUCCAUCGCAGGACACAAUCACAUACACACACCCAUUCAUACACUACGGACACUUUAGACACGCCAAUCAGCCUACCAUGCAUGUGUUUGGACUGGGGGAGGAAACCAGAGUACCCGGAGGAAACCCCCGCAGCACGGGGAGAACAUGCAAACUCCG